rnacentral:rRNA from 1 species
AUUGAACGCUGGCGGCAUGCUUUACACAUGCAAGUCGAACGGUAACAGGCCUUCGGGUGCUGACGAGUGGCGAACGGGUGAGUAAUGCAUCGGAACGUGCCCAAUCGUGGGGGAUAACGUAGCGAAAGUUACGCUAAUACCGCAUAAGCCCUGAGGGGGGAAAGUGGGGGACCGCAAGGCCUCACGCGAAUGGAGCGGCCGAUGUCAGAUUAGCUAGUUGGUGGGGUAAAGGCCCACCAAGGCGACGAUCUGUAGCGGGUCUGAGAGGAUGAUCCGCCACACUGGGACUGAGACACGGCCCAGACUCCUACGGGAGGCAGCAGUGGGGAAUUUUGGACAAUGGGCGCAAGCCUGAUCCAGCCAUGCCGCGUGCGGGACGAAGGCCUUAGGGUUGUAAAGCUCUUUUACCAGGGAUGAUAAUGACAGUACUUGGAGAAUAAGCUCCGGCUAACUCCGUGCCAGCAGCCGCGG